rfam:Microvirga sp. V5/3M, complete genome.
CCUCCUCGAUCUGCUGCGGGCAGAUGAAGUGGAUAUGCGAAUCGAAACCGCCGGCGGUGAUGAUCUUGCCUUCGCCGGCGAUGAUCUCCGUGCCGGGUCCGAUGAUGAUGUCGACAUUCGGCUGCACGUCCGGAUUGCCGGCCUUGCCGAUGGCGGCGAUCCGGCCACUCCUGAUGCCGAUAUCGGCCUUCACGAUGCCCCAAUGGUCGAGGAUGACCGCAUUGGUGAUCACCGUAUCGACGGCGCCCUCCGCGCGCGUCGUCUGCGCCUGUCCCAUGCCGUCGCGAAUG